ACAAUGAAGAGUUUGAUCCUGGCUCAGGAUGAACGCUAGCGGCAGGCUUAACACAUGCAAGUCGAGGGGCAG
rnacentral:rRNA from 1 species